UGUUACAUGAAAGAGGGAUAGACGAAGU
rnacentral:sRNA from 1 species